CUGAGACUGUUGUCUCUGAUGGAGCAGGACAGCUGGUGUUGUGAAUCAGGCCGCCGUGGUGAAAGGGUACGGCUUCUUCACAACACCAGGGUCUCACUUCAUCACACACGGCAACACCAUUC
rnacentral:precursor_RNA from 8 species